rnacentral:rRNA from 1 species
GACGAACGCUGGCGGCGUGCCUAAUACAUGCAAGUCGAACGCAGUGGGGACGGGUGAGUAACACGUGGGUAACCUCCCAUCAGAGGGGAUAACACUUGGAAACAGGUGCUAACCCGAUACUGAUGGAUGGACCCGCGGUGAAUUAGCUAGUUGGUGAGGUAACGGCUCACCAAGGCCACGAUGAAUAGCCGACCUGCGAGGGUGAUGGGCCACACUGGGACUGAGACACGGCCCAGACUCCUACGGUAGGCAGCAGGGGGGAAUAUUGCACAAUGGGCGCAAGCCUGAUGCAGCCAUGCCGCGUGUAUGAAGAAGGCCUUCGGGUUGUAAAGUACUUUCAGCGGGGAGGCGUUACCCGCAGAAGAAGCACCGGCUAACUCCGUGCCAGCAGCCGCGGUAAUUC